GGAACCGGGAGAGGUAAGAGGUACUACAGGGGUAGGAGUGAAAUCUUGUAAUCCCUGUGGGACCACCUGUGGCGAAGGCGUCUUACCAGAACGGGUUCGACGGUGAGGGACGAAAGCUGGGGGCACGAACCGGAUUAGAUACCCGGGUAGUCCCAGCCGUAAACGAUGCUCGCUAGGUGUCAGGCAUGGCGCGACCGUGUCUGGUGCCGCAGGGAAGCCGUGAAGCGAGCCACCUGGGAAGUACGGCCGCAAGGCUGAAACUUAAAGGAAUUGGCGGGGGAGCACAACAACGGGUGGAGCCCUGCGGUUUAAUUGGACUCAACGCCGGACAACUCACCGGGGGCGACAGCAAUAUGUAGGCCAAGCUGAAGACUUUGCCUGAAUCGCUGAGGAGAGGUGCAUGG
rnacentral:rRNA from 1 species